UUUUUAAAGAAAUUAGCAAAUCACCACUUCAUUUGUUGCGCAUCCUGAUAGGAACCUGCAGAUCUCAUAUAUACCAUGAUGUGCGGAGCCGUUUUAUGCUAUUACAUUU